AGUCAUCAAUGCAAAAGCCUGGCUGUACUCACUCUGUGAAAGAUUGGAAAUGUACGAUACCAAAUGUUCUGUGCACUGUUGAGCCCUAAUAGUGGAAGGGAAGAGGGCCUUUCUUCCUGUAUUCAUCAAAUAGACAGAGGCUACAGGGGUUAACCUGGACUAAAGGCAUCCUUGUCUUUUGAGCUCUUCCUCUCAGUAGAAAAGAAUCUACUGGAAGAUCACCGUACUUUAGAUCUGCUGACCUGUGUACUUAUCCCUUGGGUAGUUUUAAUUCCACAGGUUAUCAGAUGCCUGCUUUAUAAAUUCUGAUCAAAAACAAGUUUAUCUUUCUAUUCUAAUUAUGUCGCAGGGAUCUGAUCCAUAGCAUGACCUACACAAGGCUGGACAGGGUCCUCAAGCUGAGGGCCCCAGUGUAUAGGAGAAUGUGUAGGUAGAAGGGUGUCUGCUGAGUAAGGAACACUUUUUUCAAGAUUCUAAAGCUGAGUUCAAUUGACACAUUAAUGUCCCAGAAACUCAAGUCUGAAUUUCUAACAGUCCUCGCUUUGUGGGUGUGCUGACAACUUAUUUGGGUGCCUUACAUCUUUUCUAAUCAGUGUUGCAUAUGAGCCCUGCUCUCACUUCCUCUGUGGAGUUCCUUUGCACCUGAGAGCCUGCAAAAGUGGCUGGUAGAAAAGGGGGCCUGGCUGGAGAAUUAUCAGUAUAGUUGUUUGCAGGAUUCCCUUCUGGGCUUUAUUUUGGAAUCUUUUCUUAGGGCUAUUUGUAUUAAGUGCCCACAUUUGAUGGAGGGUGGAAGUAAUUUGAAUGUAUUUGAUUUAUAAUUUUUUUUUUUUAGAUGAAAAGAUGGUUGUAGCAUUUAAAAUGGAAACUUUUCCUCCUUGGUUUGCUAGUAUCCUGAGUGUAUUCUCUGUAAGUCUAGCUCAAAUGGGUCAGCGUGAAAGGUUAAAGAAAACAAGAUGUCAAUGUUUCACAGGUGGCUAAGGCCAGGGCCUCUCCUACCACUGUGCCACUGACUUGCUACGUGACCCUAGGCAAGUCACUUAACUAUAAUGUGCCUCAGUUUUCCUUCUGUUAAAAUGGGAUAAUAAUACUGACCUACCUCAAAGGGCAGUUUUGAGGUGUGACUAAUGCUUUUUUUAAAGCAUUUUGGGAUCCUUCAGCAGAGGAAUUCUUUUAAGUCCUGAGUAUUUUUAUAGUAGCAGUAUCCACCAUGAACUUGUGUCCACCAUGAACCGUGGGUCCUGGAUGCUAUCAUUAAUCGAUAUGGUUCUCUCUGGGAGAUUGAGUAAAUCCAUUGGAUAAGUGGUGGAUAACUAGCCAGACAACAUUUGAGAAUGCAUAAACUCAUUGCCAUGGAAACAAUACACAGGAUACCUUUUCCUUGAUUGGGUGGGAUUUCCCCCUUUUUAUGUGGGAUAGUAGUUAUUUGUGACCUAAGAAUAAUUUUGGAAUAAUUUCUAUUAAUAUCAACUCUGAAGCUUAGUUGUACUGAUCUGAAAUU
rnacentral:lncRNA from 1 species